rnacentral:rRNA from 1 species
CAGGCCUAACACAUGCAAGUCGAACGGAGCCGCAACGCUUAGUGGCGAACGGGUGCGUAACGCGUAUGCAACCUGCCCGCAACUGGGGGAUAGCCCGGCCAAAGCUGGGGUAAACCCGCACGGUCCAUUGGUCUCACCUGGGGUUACUGGUAAACAUAUAUGGGUUGCGGAGGGGCUUGCGUCUGAUUAGCUAGUUGGCGGGGUAAGGGCCCACCAAGGCGAUGAUCAGUAGGGGUUCUGAGAGGAUUGGCCCCCACAUGGGUACUGAGAUACGGACCCAACUCCUACGGGAGGCAGCAGUAGGGAAUAUUGGGCAAUGGGCGAGAGCCUGACCCAGCCAUGCCGCGUGCCGGAUGAACGCGCUCAGCGUUGUAAACGGCUUUUGACUGGGAAGAACGGCAGGUCUGCGAACUUGUGUGACGGUACCAGCAGAAUAAGCACCGGCUAACUCCGUGCCAGCAGCCGCGGUAAU